CCGCAUUAGGGAUAGUAGCGACAUCCUUUUUUAUAAUUGUCCCUUCGACAAGCUCAGGGUGACAAUUUCACAACAAGCUCAAGGUGACAAUUGUAAAAAAGAUAUAGCGAAUAGCCCGACCCGAG
rnacentral:sRNA from 1 species